rnacentral:rRNA from 1 species
GAUGAACGCUGGCGGCGUGCCUAAUACAUGCAAGUCGAGCGAAUGGAUUAAGAGCUUGCUCUUAUGAAGUUAGCGGCGGACGGGUGAGUAACACGUGGGUAACCUGCCCAUAAGACCGGGAUAACUCCGGGAAACCGGGGCUAAUACCGGAUAACAUUUUGAACCGCAUGGUUCGAAAUUGAAAGGCGGUUUCGGCUGUCACUUAUGGAUGGACCCGCGUCGCAUUAGCUAGUUGGUGAGGUAACGGCUCACCAAGGCAACGAUGCGUAGCCGACCUGAGAGGGUGAUCGGCCACACUGGGACUGAGACACGGCCCAGACUCCUACGGGAGGCAGCAGUAGGGAAUCUUCCGCAAUGGACGAAAGUCUGACGGAGCAACGCCGCGUGAGUGAUGAAGGCUUUCGGGUCGUAAAACUCUGUUGUUAGGGAAGAACAAGUGCUAGUUGAAUAAGCUGGCACCUUGACGGUACCUAACCAGAAAGCCACGGCUAACUACGUGCCAGCAGCCGCCGUAA